UUCCGGUUGAUCCCGCCGGACCUGACUGCUAUCGGAUUGAUACUAAGCCAUGCGAGUCUUUGCAGUAAUGCAAGGCAUACGGCUCAGUAACACGUAGUCAACUUACCCUAUGGACGAGGAUAAUCUCGGGAAACUGAGCAUAAUACUCGAUAGAUCAUAAUGCCUGGAAUGGUUUAUGGUUAAAAUGAUUCGUCGCCGUAGGAUGGGACUGCGGCCUAUCAGCUUGUUGGUGAGGUAAUGGCCCACCAAGGCGAUUACAGGUACGGGCUCUGAGAGGAGAAGCCCGGAGAUGGGUACUGAGACAAGGACCCAGGCCCUAUGGGGCGCAGCAGGCGAGAAAACUUUGCAAUGUGCGAAAGCACGACAAGGUUAAUCCGAGUGAUUUCUGCUAAAGAAAUCUUUUGCAAGUCAUAAAACCACUAGUGAAUAAGGGGUGGGCAAGUUCUGGUGUCAGCCGCCGCGGUAAAACCAGCACCUCAAGUGGUCAGGAUGAUUAUUGGGCCUAAAGCAUCCGUAGCCGGCUCUGUAAGUUUUCGGUUAAAUCCAUGUGCUCAACGCAUGGGCUGCCGAAAAUACUGCAUAGCUAGGGAGUGGGAGAGGUAGACGGUACUCGGUAGGAAGGGGUAAAAUCCUUUGAUCUAUCGAUGACCACCUGUGGCGAAGGCGGUCUACCAGAACACGUUCGACGGUGAGGGAUGAAAGCUGGGGGAGCAAACCGGAUUAGAUACCCGGGUAGUCCCAGCUGUAAACGAUGCAGACUCGAUGAUGCAUUGGCAUAUAGCCAGUGCAGUGUCGCAGGGAAGCCGUUAAGUCUGCCGCCUGGGAAGUACGUACGCAAGUAUGAAACUUAAAGGAAUUGGCGGGGGAGCACCACAAGGGGUGAAGCCUGCGGUUCAAUUGGAUUCAACGCCGGG
rnacentral:rRNA from 1 species